rnacentral:rRNA from 1 species
CGAUCAGUAGCCGACCUGAGAGGGUGACCGGCCACAUUGGGACUGAGACACGGCCCAAACUCCUACGGGAGGCAGCAGUGGGGAUAUUGCACAAUGGGGGAAACCCUGAUGCAGCGAUGCCGCGUGGAGGAAGAAGGUUUUCGGAUUGUAAACUCCUGUCGUAAGGGAAGAGAAAGGACUGUACCUUACAAGAAAGCUCCGGCUAACUACGUGCCAGCAGCCGCGGUAAUACGUAGGGAGCGAGCGUUGUCCGGAAUGACUGGGUGUAAAGGGAGCGUAGGCGGGAUGGCAAGUCAGAUGUGAAACCUGAGGGCUCAACCUUCAGACUGCAUUUGAAACUGCUGUUCUUGAGUGAAGUAGAGGUAAGCGGAAUUCCUGGUGUAGCGGUGAAAUGCGUAGAGAUCAGGAGGAACAUCGGUGGCGAAGGCGGCUUACUGGGCUUUUACUGACGCUGAGGCUCGAAAGCGUGGGGAGCAAACAGGAUUAGAUACCCUGGUAGUCCACGCUGUAAACGAUGAUUACUAGGUGUGGGGGGAUUGACCCCUUCCGUGCCGCAGUUAACACAAUAAGUAAUCCACCUGGGGAGUACGACCGCAAGGUUGAAACUCAAAGGAAUUGACGGGGGCCCGCACAAGCAGUGGAGUAUGUGGUUUAAUUCGAAGCAACGCGAAGAACCUUACCAGGUCUUGACAUCGAGUGACGUAUCCAGAGAUGGAUAUUUCCUUCGGGACACAAAGACAGGUGGUGCAUGGUUGUCGUCAGCUCGUGUCGUGAGAUGUUGGGUUAAGUCCCGCAACGAGCGCAACCCUUAUCAUUAGUUGCUACGCAAGAGCACUCUAAUGAGACUGCCGUUGACAAAACGGAGGAAGGUGGGGAUGACGUCAAAUCAUCAUGCCCCUUAUGACCUGGGCUACACACGUACUACAAUGGCGAUCGAACAGAGGGAAGCAAGACAGCGAUGUGGAGCCAAUCCCAAAAAAUCGCCCCAGUUCAGAUUGCAGGCUGCAACUCGCCUGCAUGAAGUCGGAAUUGCUAGUAAUCGCAGAUCAGCAUGCUGCGGUGAAUACGUUCCCGGGCCUUGUACACACCGCCCGUCACACCAUGGGAGUCGGUAACACCCAAAGCCGGUCGUCUAACCUUCGGGAGGACGCCGUCUAAGGUGGGAUUGAUGACUGGGGUGAAGUCGUAACAAGGUAGCCGUAUCGGAAGGUGCGGCUG